rnacentral:rRNA from 1 species
GUGGAUUAGAUACCCUGGUAGUCCACGCCGUAAACGAUGGAGACUGUCUGUUGGAUCGCAAGAUUCAGUGGAUAAGCGAAAGUGAUAAGUAUCCCACCUGGGGAGUACGUUCGCAAGAAUGAAACUCAAAGGAAUUGACGGGGGCCCGCACAAGCGGUGGAGCAUGUGGUUUAAUUCGAUGAUACGCGAGGAACCUUACCAAGGCUUAAAUGUAUAAUGACCGAUCUGGAAACAGAUCUUUCUUCGGACAGAAUGCAAGGUGCUGCACGGCUGUCGCCAGCU